rnacentral:rRNA from 1 species
UACGUAGGGGGCAAGCGUUGUCCGGAUUUAUUGGGCGUAAAGAGCGUGUAGGCGGUUUGGUAGGUCCGCUGUGAAAACUCGAGGCUCAACCUCGAGACGCCGGUGGAAACCAUCAGACGUAGAGUCCGGAAGAGGAGAGUGGAAUUCCUGGUGUAGCGGUGAAAUGCGCAGAUAUCAGGAGGAACACCAAUGGCGAAGGCAGGUCUCUGGGCCACAACUGACGCUGAGGAGCGAAAGCGUGGGGAGCGAACAGG